rnacentral:rRNA from 1 species
GACGGGGCCCGCACAAGCGGAGGAACAUGUGGUUUAAUUCGAUGAUACGCGAGGAACCUUACCCGGGCUUGAAAUGCAUCUGACCGGCCUUGAAAGAGGUUUUCCCUUCGGGGCAGAUGUGUAGGUGCUGCAUGGCUGUCGUCAGCUCGUGUCGUGAGAUGUUGGGUUAAGUCCCGCAACGAGCGCAACCCUUGCCUUUAGUUGCCAGCAGUUCGGCUGGGCACUCUAAAGGGACUGCCGGUGUUAAACCGGAGGAAGGUGGGGAUGACGUCAAGUCCUCAUGGCCUUUAUGACCAGGGCUACACACGUACUACAAUGGCCGAUACAAAGGGCAGCGACAUCGCGAGGUGAAGCCAAUCCCAUAAAAUCGGUCUCAGUCCGGAUUGGAGUCUGCAACUCGACUCCAUGAAGUUGGAAUCGCUAGUAAUCGUGGAUCAGCAUGCCACGGUGAAUACGUUCCCGGGCCUU